AAUGUCGUAACAAGGUUUUCCGUAGGUGAACCUGCGGAAGGAUCAUUACAAAUAAAGCUGGUAGGAAGUGGGGUCUUGAUCUGUAAGUGGUAGAGCGAACAGUCCGGCUGCCCUCCCCGAAAACUGUCUUACAUGUCCCCCCACAGCCUGAAGACCGAAUUUACAACCCCUUGAUUAUCUACACUUGUUGCUUUUGGGGGUGCUCAAGGUGCCCCCAGAGGGACCCCGACUCUCUUGUAUUUGAGUGACGUCUGAGUUACUAUAUAACAUUUAAAA
rnacentral:misc_RNA from 1 species